rnacentral:rRNA from 1 species
CCUACGGGAGGCAGCAGUGGGGAAUCUUGCGCAAUGGGCGAAAGCCUGACGCAGCAACGCCGCGUGCGGGAAGAAGGCUUUCGGGCUGUAAACCGCUUUCAGCAGGAACGAAAAUGACGGUACCUGCAGAAGAAGGAGCGGCCAACUAUGUGCCAGCAGCCGCGGUGAUACAUAGGCUUCAAGCGUUGUCCGGAUUUAUUGGGCGUAAAGAGUUCGUAGGCGGUCGAGUAAGUCGGGUGUGAAAAUUCUGGGCUCAACCCAGAGACGCCACCCGAUACUGCUUAACUUGAGUUCGAUAGGGGAGUGGGGAAUUCCUAGUGUAGCGGUGAAAUGCGCAGAUAUUAGGAGGAACACCGGUGGCGAAGGCGCCACUCUGGAUCGAUACUGACGCUGAGGAACGAAAGCAUGGGUAGCAAACAGGAUUAGAUACCCUGGUAGUCCAUGCCGUAAACGGUGGGCACUAGGUGUGGGAUUCUAUUAACGAAUUCCGCGCCGUCGCUAACGCAUUAAGUGCCCCGCCUGGGGGNGGUACGGUCGCGAGACGUAAACUUAAAUAGAGUUAAGUACGGCGUUGAGACGUUGCCGACGGCGACGACGAGGGAGGUUAGG